ensembl:snoRNA
UGCAGCCUCGUCAAAUUCAGUGUUUCCUUCUCGGUGGACCACACUGGCCAAAAUGGCUGCAACAGUGAGCCGUAGUCCAUGGGCCUCGCAUUCUUCUAGUAGGAUGGUGGGGAUAGUUGGCACUACAACAACG